GGGCCUGGAAGCACACUUGAUGAAGCCUUCAAAAUCAAAAAACUUAGGACUUGAAAAUCCUUUUGGGAAGCCAAGAGGGGGUGCUUAAAACAGGGGCAUGCAAAAGAGGCAGCGCUGGUUCCUUUCUUUCCUUUUUGGGUCGACGGCCAAGAAACCCUAGGUUUCUUGGUUCUAGGGCAUGGAGAAGACCAGAAAGAGAGAAAGAAAGGAAGGAAGAGAGAGAGAG
rnacentral:lncRNA from 1 species